rnacentral:rRNA from 1 species
UACAGAGGGGGCAAGCGUUGUUCGGAAUUACUGGGCGUAAAGGGCGCGUAGGCGGCCUGUUAAGUCGAACGUGAAAUCCCCGGGCUCAACCCGGGAACUGCGUCCGAUACUGGCAGGCUUGAAUCCGGGAGAGGGAUGCGGAAUUCCAGGUGUAGCGGUGAAAUGCGUAGAUAUCAGGAGGAACACCGGUGGCGAAGGCGGGUCUCUGGGCCGAAAUUGACGCUGAGGAGCGAAAGCGUGGGGAGCAAACAGG